UACGUAGGGCGCAAGGCGUUAUCCGGAAUUAUUGGGCGUAAAGAGCUCGUAGGCGGUUUGUCGCGUCUGCCGUGAAAGUCCGGGGCUCAACUCCGGAUCUGCGGUGGGUACGGGCAGACUAGAGUGAUGUAGGGGAGACUGGAAUUCCUGGUGUAGCGGUGAAAUGCGCAGAUAUCAGGAGGAACACCGAUGGCGAAGGCAGGUCUCUGGGCAUUAACUGACGCUGAGGAGCGAAAGCAUGGGGAGCGAACAGG
rnacentral:rRNA from 1 species